ACCACUUCUUGGUCUUUUGACUAAGAUCAAGUACAGCAUCUGUUCUUAUCAGUGUAAAAGACACCAGAGAGACCUUAUACUUUUAUUAACUCCUAUACCUUUGACUACACAUAUUCCUCCAGAGCCAUGACUCCAU
rnacentral:snRNA from 1 species